UUUUACCUGACCUGUUUCCUUUUUUGGCAAAUUUAACACUAACUUUUGCCAAAACGGGGUGCUACACAUUAGAUGCAACUUUCCAUUUUUUUUCCUAUUUAGGUAGUUAGAUCCUUUUUUUAGUGUGCUGAUCAGUACUCUGUAUGGUCAUAACAAGACAUUGAUGCCUUUUCUUGCGAAUUUCAAAAUUGUGAAGCUGCCCGCAAGAUCCAAGAAAGUAUGAUAAUUUCUCUUCAUCUUUAGCUCAGAUGUAAAAAAUGUAGCCUAACUGAAGUAACCAUUUAUGUGCUGUGUGCAAAACAUUUAAUGUUGUUUUCCUUUUGUGUCUUUUGCUUUGUUCUAUCGAACGCUACUGCAAACUGGCUUUUUCUCCCCCUCCCCCUUUCUUGAGGCGGUUUUGGUGGUGAAGAAGUUUGGAGAGGAUCCUAAAGAUAGCACUUGAAGCUGCUUCCUCUAUGCAGCUUUAUAUUCUAUAUUGGUAGCUUAAACCUCGUUAGACCUUGAAUACAAUCUUUGCCUUGCUUCUGGAUGAUGAGUGUUCUAGACAAUAAGUUUUGUAGAUUCACACCUUUGCCUUGCUUUUGAAUAUUGAGUGCGAGAUUUUUAUUUUCCGAAUUAACAAGUUUGUAACUUGUUUCUUUCUUAGCUAACCACUUGCUAUUCCUGGUAAUUCUUAUCUACUAAAUCAACUUUAAAUAUUUCCCAAUCAACAACUUUAGUGCUCCUCCUCAGAAAACUCUUCGCUCUCGCUAGUUUCAAACUUUGAUCUGAAACUUUUCCUAUCAACAAUUACUGCACUUUCAGAUGGCGAUUUCGCAAUUUCAAUUUAUUUUUGAGAAACUUCUUCUUGCGUCUGAUGUCAGUAAAAAAUCAAGACGGUUCAUCAUCCUUCAAGAAGAUUUUGAUAAAUUUAAAACUAUUUUGCUUCCGAAUUAUCGACAAAAAAUAUUGGGUGGUAAGAAAAUUGAUUUCUUGGCCGAAGAUGAAACCGGUAAAAUUUGGCGCUUUUCUUGCAAGAAGAGUAAAAGAGGUAUUGGUAAAAUAUUAGGACAAUGGUCCAAAUUCGUUGAAGCUAACAAUAUCAUUAAGAGUACCCUCUUUAGAUUUGAGUGGGAGACAGCAUUUAAUAGGGCUAAGAUUACCUAUCAACUGCGAAUUGUAUACGGAGGAUUUGAAAUGGAUCUCAACCCGAAUCCAAAUAAAGUAAUGGGUCUGAACCCGAAUGAAGUAAUACUUACGUACAGAGCCCAAAAGCUGGUCCAUAACAUAUGUUAAGGAUCAGUGCUCAAUUUCACGCCAAGUGAAGGAUUUUUGAUGACGGUGAUCAUCAUAAUUAUAAUUUUAAAGAGAAAUCGGGUACAUGUCUUAAUGGAUGCUUGUUCCAAUGGCGAAUCUAAGCUUACAUUUUUUUAUUAGUGGGAACCAACAUAAAAUAAUUAUAUAAUUAUUUAUAUACUACCUCCGUAAACGAUUAUCUGCAACAUUUACCAAAAGUAGGCGCUUUCUAUUAUGUGUAACAAAUGUUUUUUUUUCCUCUUUUAGUAAGUUUUUCUAUAAAAAAUUACCAAACUGCCCUUACUUAAACAACUUACUCCCUUAAUCAUUUCACUAACCAUACUCUAUUAUAAACCUAACUUAACUCAUCUAAUCUUCAAAAAAAAAAAAAAAAAAAAAAAAAAA